rnacentral:rRNA from 1 species
AUUGAACGCUGGCGGCAGGCCUAACACAUGCAAGUCGAACGAGUGGCGGACGGGUGAGUAAUGUCUGGUAAACUGCCUGAUGGAGGGGGGUCACUAAUGGAAACGGUAGCCAAUACCGCCUACCAUCGGAUUAGCCCAGAUGGGAUUAGCUAGUAGGUGGGGGAAAGGCUAACCUAGGCGACGAUCCCUAGCGGUGCUGAGAGGAGGACCAGCCACACUGGAACGGAGCACCGGUCCAACCUCCUACGGGGGGCAGCGUGGGGGAAUAUUCCACAAUGGGCGCAAGCCUGAGGAAGCAAUGCCGCUUGGUGGAAGAAGGCCUUCGGGUUGUAAAGUACGUUCAGCGGGGAGGCGGUACCCGAAGAAGAAGCACCGGCUAACUCCGUGCCAGCAGCCGCGGUAAUUC